GACGAACGCUGGCGGCGUGCCUAAUACAUGCAAGUCGAACGAGUGGCGGACGGGUGAGUAAUGUCUGGGAAACUGCCCGAUGGAGGGGGCUAACUUCGGGAAACGGUAGCUAAUACCGCAUACCAUCGGAUGUGCCCAGAUGGGAUUAGCUAGUAGGGGGGGUAACGGCUCACCUAGGCGACGCUCCCUAGCUGGUCUGAGAGGAUGACCAGCCACACUGGAACUGAGACACGGUCCAGACUCCUACGGGAGGCAGCAGUGGGGAAUAUUGCACAAUGUGCGCAAGCCUGAUGCAGCCAUGCCGCGUGUAUGAAGAAGGCCUUCGGGUUGUAAAGUACUUUCAGCGAGGAGGCGUUACGCGCAGAAGAAGCACCGGCUAACUCCGUGCCAGCAGCCGCGGUAAUUC
rnacentral:rRNA from 1 species